AUUGAACGCUGGCGGCAGGCCUAACACAUGCAAGUCGAGCGGAUGAAGGGAGCUUGCUCCUGGAUUCAGCGGCGGACGGGUGAGUAAUGCCUAGGAAUCUGCCUGGUAGUGGGGGAUAACGUCCGGAAACGGGCGCUAAUACCGCAUACGUCCUGAGGGAGCAAGUGGGGGAUCUUCGGACCUCACGCUAUCAGAUGAGCCUAGGUCGGACUAGCUAGUUGGUGGGGUAAAGGCCUACCAAGGCGACGAUCCGUAACUGGACUGAGAGGAUGAUCAGUCACACUAGAAGUUGGACACGCACCAGGCUCCUACGGGACGGAGCAGUGGGGAACAUUGGACAAUGGGCGAAAGUCUGAUCCAGCGAUGCCGCGUGUGUUAAGGAAAUGUUCCGAUUGUAAAGCCGUUUUUGUUGGGGGGAAGGGCAGUAAGUUGUGACCAUGCUGUUGUGACGUUACCAACAGAAGAAGCACCGGCUAACUUCGUG
rnacentral:rRNA from 1 species